GACGUUUAUGCUGUGUUGAUCCCCAGUUCUACAACUGCUAUUACAUUUGUCAUUCUGUCUCCCCUUUUCCCCUAAUUCUUUUAUGUAUGUAUGUAUACAGUUUGAGGAAAUGUGCAUCUAUGGUCAGUCCUUUUUAAAAGACUUAAUGAAUUUAUUACUCUUUUGCAAAAAAUAUACCCACUGCUUAUAUGGGCAUACAAAUGCUACCCUAUUUUAAAUGUAGGUGGCGUAUGUGUUCGUGUUUUAAUGUAUUCAGAGCCAUUGGGCAAUAAGCAGUCCAGAACAUUGAAAACUCAAGCAGCAGACAACUAAACUGGUAGGUGGCAGCAGAGGAAGGAAUUCUUCAGAUUGAUGGCUACUGACUUAAAGUCUGCAUAGGAGAAGAGAUAGAGCAUGACAUACCAAGUGAAGCAAGGGGGACAAAAAUGGAAACAGGAGUAAGAUUCCUGCAUUUUGACUCUAAAUGGUUCUUUUGAAGUAACCAGUGAUCUUUUUUGCUUACCCUCAUCAACAGAAUGGAUGAAGAUAGAUUUGACUGUGUGCUUUUUCAAGUGGAGAAUAUGAAUAUACAGAACAAGAAAGCAAUAACUCCAACCUGUUUGAUUCCGUCUGUUUUCUAAAUAAAGAAAGACACCAUGCACUGGAAAUAACAUA
rnacentral:sRNA from 1 species